CAAUAGCGUAUAUUAAAGUUGUUGCGGUUAAAAAGCUCGUAGUUGGAUUUCUGCUGAGAACGACCGGUCCGCCCUCUGGGUGUGUAUCUGGCUCUUUCUUGGCAUCUUCUUGGUGAACGUUGCUGCACUUGACUGUGUGGAGCGCUACCCAGGACUUUUACUUUGAGGAAAUUAGAGUGUUUCAAGCAGGCAUACGCCCUGAAUACAUUAGCAUGGAAUAAUAAGAUAGGACCUCGGUUCUAUUUUGUUGGUUUCUAGAGCUGAGGUAAUGAUUAAUAGGGAUAGUUGGGGGCAUUCGUAUUUAACUGUCAGAGGUGAAAUUCUUGGAUUUGUUAAAGACGGACUACUGCGAANGNAUUUGCNAAGGAUGUUUNCAUUG
rnacentral:rRNA from 1 species